ACAGUCUACCUCAGUACUGUUCUAGCUGUGACCCAGAACAAUCCAGAUAAAAGCAACAUUUUCUAGGAAUUAGAGAAUUUUUUUAAAGUUUGUUAAAAUCCAAGUUUUGAGCGAGAGAACUAAUCUAAAUUAUAAAAUCAAUAAAAGGCCGCAGCCUCAAUAGCUCUGAGUAGGCCUAGAGUAGGGGUUUAGUAGAGACGAGAGCAGCUGACAGGACGGGUUUAGGAGAGAUCAAUAUCCGGGUCUAAUAUACAAUACGGCAACGGUUCUAGUCCAGGAACCGUAGGUUUCAUGUAAACGGGGGAACGAGCUCCUUUUCCAGGAGAAGCGUCUUGGCAAUUGAGAAUCAGGAUGCCGUGGUUAACGAGCUGUUGCUGUGGAUUCAGCGUGAAAAGUGGAACCAAAGCUGUUGCUAUUCUCAGUCUGGUAUAUUCUGUGUUUGGUUUACUAGCGGUCGGAACAUACAACUAUGGCAAGGAAAUGCUUCAUAGGGAAUCUUUAGGGAUUAACCAGCACAGACGACCUACUGGAUAUCUAGAG